ACAACGGACAGGGGANGCGGAGUCUGGAUUCUGAAUUGGAACGCUUUGCAGNAUCUGGANACGNACACAUCCGAAANGUGGGGGGAACGGGCAAAAAAACACACACUCGAAAACCAACCUUUCANGAACAACUNACACUGACGUUGUUUAAACGGGGACGUUGGGAAAACUGAACCAACGGGGGUGAUUGACUAAAAUUGUACACUGGAUAUAUGGAAAUGACACACACAACGAACUAUAUACGAACAAACAUUGACANGNACGUUGNCANGUUUUAAACANGAAACCACAAGAAAAAAAGAUACAACAAUUACGAACACAACUAGAGAUGAGUAACACUACAANUANUACUACUGACGNCAGUAAUCAACAGACUAAAAAUUGGAAAGUUCCAACUUUUAACUACUUACUGACAACCUAAAAGGUAAUUAACAAGAUUAUAAACAAAAUUGAAACCCAAUACCAAAACAGAGAUAUAGAAAGAACACGGUGGGGGGGCCUUUUUUCAACAAGUUCAAGAAACCUUAAAAAAAAAAAACACGACACCUAACGACGACGACUAUUAACGAACAAAAUAAAUAAACAGGAUAAAGACUUGACACACUACGUAUUACAGCGGCUGCUGGCACGUAGUUAGCCGUGGCUUUCUGAUCAGGUAAAAAUCAAGAUGUGCACAAGUUACUUACACAUUUUGGUUCUUCCCUGAUUAACAGAGUUUUUACGAUUCCGAAGACCUUCAUCACUCACGCGGCGUUGCUCCGUCAGGCUUUCGCCCAUUGCGGAAGAUUCCCUACUGCUGCCUCCCGUAGGAGUCUGGACCGUGUCUCAGUUCCAGUGUGGCACGAUCACACCCUCUGCAAAGGUAAGGGCUAACGUUAUUUCCGUUUUAAACAAUUUGGGGUA
rnacentral:rRNA from 1 species